rfam:Dipodomys ordii contig_45390, whole genome shotgun sequence.
GGGAAUGUGGCUUAGUGGUAGAGUUCUGGCUUAACAUGCCUGAAACCCUGAGUUCAAUUCUUCACUACCA